rnacentral:rRNA from 1 species
CAGCCGCCACGGUAACACGAAGGGGGCUAGCGUUGCUCGGAAUUACUGGGCGUAAAGGGCGCGUAGGCGGCGCUCCAAGUUAGGCGUGAAAUUCCCGGGCUCAACCUGGGGACUGCGCUUAAGACUGGAGUGCUUGAGGAUGGAAGAGGGUUGUGGAAUUCCCAGUGUAGAGGUGAAAUUCGUAGAUAUUGGGAAGAACACCGGUGGCGAAGGCGGCAACCUGGUCCAUUACUGACGCUGAGGCGCGAUAGCGUGGGGAGCAAACAGGAUUAGAUACCCCGGUAGUCCCUGUCUCUUAUAC